rnacentral:rRNA from 1 species
CGUCGAGCCGUUGAAACUGGGUGCCUUGAGUGGGCGAGAAGUACGCGGAAUGCGUGGUGUAGCGGUGAAAUGCAUAGAUAUCACGCAGAACUCCGAUUGCGAAGGCAGCCUACCGGCUUCUGUCUGACGCUGAGGCACGAAAGCGUGGGUAUCGAACAGGAUUAGAUACCCUGGUAGUCCACGCAGUAAACGAUGAAUGCCGGCUGUCCGGUCCGACUGAGGGCUGGGUGGCGAAGCGAAAGCGAUAAGCAUCCCACCUGGGGAGUACGCCGGCAACGGUGAAACUCAAAGGAAUUGACGGGGGCCCGCACAAGCGGAGGAACAUGUGGUUUAAUUCGAUGAUACGCGAGGAACCUUACCCGGGCUCAAACGGGAGAUGACGCGGGCAGAGACGCCCGUUUCUUAGGACAUCUUCCGAGGUGCUGCAUGGUUGUCGUCAGCUCGUGCCGUGAGGUGUCGGCUUAAGUGCCAUAACGAGCGCAACCCCUGCCGACAGUUGCUAACGCGUUGAGGCGAGGACUCUGUCGGGACUGCCGGCGCAAGCCGCGAGGAAGGCGGGGAUGACGUCAAAUCAGCACGGCCCUUACGUCCGGGGCGACACACGUGUUACAAUGGCAGGUACAGCGGGAUGCCAUGGGGCGACCCAGAGCGGAACCCGAAAACCUGUCUCAGUUCGGAUUGGAGUCUGCAACCCGACUCCAUGAAGCUGGAUUCGCUAGUAAUCGCGCAUCAGCCACGGCGCGGUGAAUACGUUCCCGGGCCUUGUACACACCGCCCGUCAAGCCAUGGGAGCCGGGGGUGCCUGAAGGCCGUGACCGCGAGGAGCGGCCUAGGGUAAAACUGGUGACUGGGGCUAAGUCGUAACAAGGUAGCCGUAA